rnacentral:lncRNA from 1 species
CUUUUAAUGACAAACUGGAUGUUGUUGCUUGCUUGGAGGAUCUUCUUCAGCUUUGCAAUCCCAAAGCAGUUGGGACGCCGCAGCAGGAUGCCCUCUGGCAAACCUACCACAAACAGAUCCUCAGGGUACAUCAGGAACUUGGAGUAGGGAACUUUGACCGGCUCUGAUAUUCCUAUGGCUUUCGCGUAUCUCGUGUUGAACAACAUUUCUACUUGCUUCCUCAAAUGACUCAAAACGUCCCCUAUACCAUCUGAUCCCUCCAUCUGCUUCUCUUCGUGUCGUGGCUCCUCACCAGGCCCCUUCUCUGUUCCUGCUACUGCAUCCAGGAUGUAGCUCGACUCCUCCGAGGCCACGUGCGUGGUCGCCGGGUCAUGCAUCUCAUCUGAACCGGGCGAUCGGUCUGGAACAGUGAUCUGAAUGAUGUCCAGCUCAUCCGGCUCGAUUUUGAUCUGUCUGAUCCCACCCAGCUCUCCUGAAGUACCUGGUUCACAGCUUUCAGGAAGGCUGCAUUUCUCUGACCUGCUGGCAGCCUGCGACGUCCCCGCCAGGUCCAGCACGGCCCCGCGGUGCGGCUCGGGGGAGAUCUCCCCGGGAGGACUGGAGGGUUCCAGCUUGGUUGGAUC